AAGCGUAUCCCCGGAGUCGGGGCUCUCCCGGUUUGGCGCGAAACCGGAUCUGACGUUACCAUAGGGAGGUACUCCCUGCCCCUAGACAGGUACUGUUGUAGCUAGGGAAAGAUCCGACGAUUCCUCGGCCUUGUCCCCAGCCUUUACUUGCCUAUGUGCCUAUGUUCUACCGUUCUACUCGGUACCCUCACCCCCUCACCGCAGUCGCCGGCUUUGUUUGAGUUAUGCCUUCUUUACGCGGUGUGUUGAUAGGUGACAGCCAGGUUAAAUUCAUGUGCAGGAGUCGCCUUCACUUGAAAACAUCCGUCGAGACCUGCACAUUUAGUUUUGGUGGUUUUGACGCUGUGCGAAUGGCUGAGGCCGUCUCUGCGAUGCACUUUCAGCGCGUAGACUGACGUUGGUGGUAACGACGUUUGCGGUGCCAACGCGGACCCUCAAGAUAUAUGCGACAAUAUAGGGAAGUUAGUUCUGCAACUGCAGCACGAUGUGGCCCCCGUGGUGUAUACGUCUUCAAAGUGCUGCCACGUUGCUCCAGCUCUGAAGACGCCGAUGCGGAGCGCCAGAUCAAGAAAACGCGCUUGCUGAACCGCAAGCUGACGGCUACGCUGAAACGCCUGCCGUGUGUUCGAAUCUUGAACGCCGAGGUAAGUUUACGCUGACAUACUGGUGCGCGCCGCUGAGGGAAAUGCCGUACCGUCGUGGUCGGCACGCAGCUUUUUUUAAGAACUUUUUAGCCGCGCUAGUUGCUCAUUGCUUGCGGUAAAGUGAUGCGGUAGAGGUCUUGCGGGUUAUAAUACUGACAUGCCGACCACGACGGUAUGGCAUAUCCGUAUUGCUGCACGGUAAACCUGCACUGCCAACAGACCCGAUCAAAGCGCAUCGGUUUCUCAAUUCCUCGAAAGAGCCACGACG